rnacentral:other from 1 species
GCGGGGCUGCCCGGUGCGUCAGGCUUUUCAUCCCCGGGGCCGAUAAGCAUCCUCCGGGAGCUGGCACUGCCGUGAUCGUGGUCAUGGUACCCGGCGCCCACCUGCUCACGCGGGCCUUGGGAGGGUGGUACGCCAACGGCCAUGGCGGCUCCGCA